UACGGGGGGGGCAAGCGUUGUUCGGAAUUACUGGGCGUAAAGGGCUCGUAGGUGGCCAACUAAGUCAGACGUGAAAUCCCUCGGCUUAACCGGGGAACUGCGUCUGAUACUGGAUGGCUUGAGUUCGGGAGAGGGAUGCGGAAUUCCAGGUGUAGCGGUGAAAUGCGUAGAUAUCUUGAGGAACACCGGUGGCGAAGGCGGCAUCCUGGACCGAUACUGACACUGAGGAGCGAAAGCCAGGGGAGCAAACGGG
rnacentral:rRNA from 1 species